GACCGAUAGUGAACCAGUACCGUGAGGGAAAGGCGAAAAGAACCCCGGCGAGGGGAGUGAAAAAGAACCUGAAACCGUGUACGUACAAGCAGUGGGAGCACAGGUUUACCUGUGUGACUGCGUACCUUUUGUAUAAUGGGUCAGCGACUUAUAUUCUGUAGCAAGGUUAACCGCAUAGGGGAGCCGGAGGGAAACCGAGUCUUAACCGGGCGUUAAGUUGCAGGGUAUAGACCCGAAACCCGGUGAUCUAGCCAUGGGCAGGUUGAAGGUUGGGUAACACUAACUGGAGGACCGAACCGACUAAUG
rnacentral:rRNA from 1 species